rnacentral:tRNA from 1 species
GGCGGCUUCGUCUAGUGGUCUAGGACGCUGGCCUCUCACGCCGGUAACACGGGUUCGAACCCCGUAGUCGCUA